UUCGAUAGACAAACAAGUUCGAAGACUCUGAGGACCGGAGAUGCAACUUUUCCAUAGUGCCCUUGUGCUCGCAGCUUUGGUAGACAUCUUUUUGCUGCCAUGCUCUCGAGCAUCUUGUCCCGAGAAGAACCCAAAACCACCUCUCCAAUUCUGUGGAAAGAAUCGGGAGGGCUGUAGUCCAGUCACGACAUGCACCUGGCCAUGCGACGUUUGUCUUGGCUACCAAGGUGGCGGCUGCGUUGGCGUAUGUGUGUUCAACGCUUCAAAAUUCCGGGGGAAAAUUCGUAAACGAAAUAGUAACAAGUAGUACGUGAGAUAAAUAAAACAGUUCUCCCAUCAACGUUAACCCGCCUCUUGUUGAGUGAUACUUUGUGCGGAAAGUGCCGCGAUGUUCAGUUGAAGGUUGUGUCUUCAGAUGACAUCAGAGUCGCAAAACUGUGUCGACGUACAACAGUGCGGCCCCGUAGAUGUAA